rnacentral:rRNA from 1 species
UUCGAAGCAACGCGAAGAACCUUACCAGGCCUUGACAUGCAGAGAACUUUCCAGAGAUGGAUUGGUGGCCUUCGGGAACGUCUGACACAGGUGCUGCAUGGCUGUCGUCAGCUCGUGUCGUGAGAUGUUGGGUUAAGUCCGUAACGAGCGCAACCCUUGUUCUUAGUUACCAGCACGUUAUGGUGGGCACUCUAAGGAGACUGCCGGUGACAAACCGGAGGAAGGUGGGGGAUGACGUCAAGUCAUCAUGGCCCUUACGGCCUGGGCUACACACGUGCUACAAUGGUCGGUACAAAGGGUUGCCAAGCCGCGAGGUGGAGCUAAUCCCAUAAAACCGAUCGUAGUCCGGAUCGCAGUCUGCAACUCGACUGCGUGAAGUCGGAAUCGCUAGUAAUCGUGAAUCAGAAUGUCACGGUGAAUACGUUCCCGGGCCUU